rnacentral:misc_RNA from 1 species
GUGGUGUUCUAGAUUGGUUCACCACCUGUGCUUCCCUCCUGCGUGGAGGUUGGUAUUGUUAUUCAUUUUGAGGACGCUGCUGUUUAUACCAUCCUGAGGAACUCUAGGCUGGUGCUUCUUGAGCUCCUUGACAUUAACGGAUGUAGAGUCUGAAUUCUCAGGCCUUAAGGAAUUGGCCAUUGAAUGAUGCGGGAACUACUAGGGACCUUGAGGUUCU